CGACAAUCUCCGAAGUACCGUUUCCGCUUCAAAAUUUCUGGACGUUCGGAUUCAUAAUUAAUAUCGCCAUCUUAGAUUACUUAAGCAAUCUCAUCGUCGAAGUUUUGUGGAGAAAGUGAUAAAACUGCGUAUUCUGGACAUACUGCCAACACAGGUCUUCAAUACUUCUAGAAAUUAUUCAACAGUCGUUUGCCCGACCAACUCAGGUGAAGAACAAAUGAACAUCCCAAUGAAACACUUUAUAAGCAUGUUGGUGACGGUGAUGUUGUUCACACUCAAUAUGGUGCAAUGUUGUCUAGACUUUGAUCACGAAGCCUGCACGAACUCCGAUGGCAGUCCUGCCGAGUGUGCCGAAGGACAGACGUCUUGCGGGAUUGAAGCAGGAUGCGAGUGUGUGAGCAUUCUCAAAAGAGGAAAGUGGCGCAAUUUCUGUGGCGUAUGCUAUGAUGACAAUGGCUUAUAACUAAUUGCAAUAAAAAUGAAAUAACUGUCCAGGUAUAACUGGCUUAGAGCGCUUUAACUGAAUUGUUUGUUCAAACUCAGCUGCCAAAAACAAAUGACAUCCAUUAGUACAAAACAAUGCCAAUCGCAGCAGCAACUGUCCAAAAGAUACUUGACUUGAAGCAAAUCUAAUUCGAA